CUUUCCUCAGCAGAGACGUCGACUAGCCAUACUCCUCACAACUCCUGUUUCGUAGCUUAAUCGAAGUCACCUGAAGGACGGCUUUCCUGAAUUUCCUCAGCAACGGCAAGACCCGCACUCCUCUCAUAUCUUGAAGUUUAACGAGUUUCGCGGCUCAAGCAAGAGGCACCUGUCACUGAAGGACUGCUUUUCUCAGCAACGACGUGAACAGCAUUACUCGAAUUUCCUUCACCGCAGCUGUUUCACAACAAAUCCAGACCUGGUGGGUAUUGAAGGACAGCGGAGGCUGGGGGAGGGGUACAUUGCAUUUCAAGGGUUCAGCUGAUCUACCGGUCUUCGUACAAGCAGAGUUGGCAGAGGAGGUCAUAAAAAUCUACAUCCUUCGGGACAAUGAUGGGGCAGUCAGCGAUGUAGGAGUUGUGAUUGAGGGCAUCACUGUCCUCCGCAGUCUUGGGAAUCUCAGCAGAGUCUGCUGCUAUCUUUUGGGAGUCACGUAUGCAUUGGAUUUGAGAUAUUCCAAGACCCACAAAUACAGGUCCUUCUCAAAAAAUUAGCUUAUUGUGAUAAAGUUCAUUAUUUUCCAUAAUGUAAUGAUAAAAAUUAAACUUUCAUAUUUUAGAUUCAUUGCACACCAACUGAAAUAUUUCAGGUCUUUUAUUGUUUUAAUACUGAUGAUUUUGGCAUACAGCUCAUGAAAACCCCAAAUUCUCAAAAAAUUAGCAUAUUUCAUCCGACCAAUAAAAGAAAAGUGUUUUUAAUACAAAAAAGCUCAUCCAGAGUGUUGGGUCUUGCGUCUCUCAACUUUCUCUUCACAAUAUCCCACAGAUUCUCCAUGGGGUUCGGGUCAGGAGAGUUGGCAGGCCAAUUGAGCACAGUAAUACCAUGGUCAGUAAACCAUUUACUAGUGGUUUUGGCACUGUGAGCAGGUGCCAGGUCGUGCUGAAAAACAAAAUCUUCAUCUCCAUAAAGCUUUUCAGCAGAUUGAAGCAUGAAGUGCUCCAAAAUCUCCUGAUAGCUAGCUGCAUUGACCCUGCCCUUGAUAAAACAGUGGACCAACACCAGCAGCUGACAUGGCACCCCAGACCAUCACUGACUGUGGGUACUUGACACUGGACUUCAGGCAUUUUGGCAUUUCCUUCUCCCCAGUCUUCCUCCAGACUCUGGCACCUUGAUUUCCGAAUGACAUCCAAAAUUUGCUUCCAUCCGAAAAAAGUACUUUGGACCACUGAGCAACAGUCCAGUGCUGCUUCUCUGUAGCCCAUUUCCUGCACACGCCUGUGCACGGUGGCUCUGGAUGUUUCUACUCCAGACUCAGUCCACUGCUUCCGCAGGUCGCCCAAGGUCUGGAAUCGGUCCUUCUCCACAAUCUUCCUCAGGGUCCGGUCACCUCUUCUCGUUGUGCAGCGUUUUUUGCCACACUUUUUCCUUCCCACAGACUUCCCACUGAGGUGCCUUGAUACAGCACUCUGGGAACAGCCCAGAAUUUCUUUCUGUGUCUUACCCUCUCGCUUGAGGGUGUCAAUGAUGGCCUUCUCAGGUUGGCAGUCUUACCCAUGAUUGCGAUUUUGAGUAAUGAACCAGGCUGGGAGUUUUUAAAAGCCUCAGGAAUCUUUUGCAGGUGUUUAGAGUUAAUUAGUUGAUUCAGAUGAUUAGGUUAAUAGCUCGUUUAGAUAACCUUUUCAUGAUAUGCUAAUUUUUUGAGAUAGGAAUUUUGGGUUUUAAUGAGCUAUAUGCCAAAAUCAUCACUAU